rnacentral:rRNA from 1 species
UACGAAGGGUGCAAACGUUGCUCGGAAUCAUUGGGCGUAAAGCGCACGUAGGCGGCCUUGUAAGUCGGAUGUGAAAUCCCACGGCUCAACCGUGGAAGUGCAUCCGAAACUGCGAGGCUCGAGUAUGGAAGAGGGUCGCAGAAUUCCCGGUGUAGAGGUGAAAUUCGUAGAUAUUCGCAAGAACACCAGUGGCGAAGGCGGCUCACUGGCCCGGUACUGACGCUGAGGUGCGAAAGCGUGGGGAGCAAACAGG